AACGAACGCUGGCGGCGCGUUUUAAGCAUGCAAGUCGAACGGUAGAGUGCCUUCGGGUGCUUGAGAGUGGCGAACGGGUGAGUAACACGUAGAUGAUCUGCCUCGGGGUUGGGGAUAGCUCAUGGAAACAUGGGGUAAUACCGAAUACGUUCCUGACUGUAAAGGGUCAAGAAGAAAGGAGCUUAGGCUCCGUCCUGAGAUGAGUCUGCGCCUCAUUAGCUAGUUGGUGGGGUAAAGGCCUACCAAGGCAACGAUGAGUAGCCGGCCUGAGAGGGUGAUCGGCCACACUGGAACUGAGACACGGUCCAG
rnacentral:rRNA from 1 species